rnacentral:rRNA from 1 species
UACGUAGGGUGCGAGCGUUAAUCGGAAUUACUGGGCGUAAAGCGCCCGCAGGCGGCUUGCCAAGUUCGAUGUGAAAUCUCCCGGCUCAACUGGGAGGGUGCAUCGAAAACUGGCAGGCUUGAGGCAGGGAGAGGGAUGUGGAAUUCCAGGUGUAGUGGUGAAAUGCGUAGAUAUUUGGAGGAACACCAGUGGCGAAGGCGGCAUCCUGGCCCUGUCCUGACGCUCAGGGGCGAAAGCGUGGGGAGCAAACCGG